AUAUAUAUAUAUAUAUAUAUAUAUAUAUAUAUGUAAUGAUGAUGAUAAGGGUAUCUGAUCUGCGACGUAUGGGAUAGCGCAGCAUGGGGAAGUGUCGAUAUGAUGUUGAUAAGGCCGGGCAUCAUAUAUGUUUAAUUUGCUGGGUGUAAUAUAUUUUGUCGUGUGGAAUUUGUUGGAGAGCAGCUGGAUGAAAUAAAUGAAGUAGUACGUUGAGAAAGGGAAGAAAGGGACGUACAUUUUUGUAUCCAAAAUUAAUGGUUGGUCACAAAUGUUUUUGCGGUACAUAUAUGAUAGCCCCCUUUCAUUCAUCACCUUCUCAUUGCUUAUUUCCAUCCUAGCUUCACACACACAUGCCAAAUUCUGUCUUUAGUCCCCGACUAUUGUAGUAGUGUUACGUUUAA